GCCGGGCGCGGUGGCCUGUGCCUAUAAUCCCAGCUACUCAGGAGGCUGAGGUGCGAGAUUCACUUGAGCCCAGGAGUUCUGGGCUGUAGGGCGCUAUACCGAUCAGGUGUCCGCACUAAGUUCGGCAUCAAUAUGGUGACCUCCCGGGAGCGGGGGACCACCAGGUUGCCUAAGGAGGGGUGAACCGGCCCAGGAGGGAAACGGAGCAGGUCAAAACUCCCGUGCUGAUCAGUAGUGGGAUCGCACCUGUGAAUAGCCACUGCACUCCAGCCUGGGCAACAUAGUGAGACCCCGUCUCU
rnacentral:SRP_RNA from 1 species